rnacentral:rRNA from 1 species
AUUGAACGCUGGUGGCAUGCUUUACACAUGCAAGUCGAACGGGCUGUCGGGGCAACCUGGCAGUCAGUGGCGAACGGGUGAGUAAUACAUCGGAACGUGUCCUUGAGUGGGGGAUAACCCGGCGAAAGCCGGACUAAUACCGCAUACGCUCUAAGGAGGAAAGCGGGGGACCAGCAAUGGCCUCGUGCUGAAGGAGCGGCCGAUGUCCGAUUAGCUUGUUGGUGGGGUAAUGGCUUACCAAGGCGACGAUCGGUAGCUGGUCUGAGAGGAUGAUCAGCCACACUGGGACUGAGACACGGCCCAGACUCC